rnacentral:rRNA from 1 species
GAUGAACGCUGGCGGCGUGCCUAAUACAUGCAAGUCGAGCGAAUGGAUUAAGAGCUUGCUCUUAUGAAGUUAGCGGCGGACGGGUGAGUAACACGUGGGUAACCUGCCCAUAAGACUGGGAUAACUCCGGGAAACCGGGGCUAAUACCGGAUAACAUUUUGAACCGCAUGGUUCGAAAUUGAAAGGCGGCUUCGGCUGUCAAUUAUGGAUGGACCCGCGUAGCAUUAGCUAGUUGGUGAGGUAACGGCUCACCAAGGCAACGAUGAGUAGCCGACCUGAGAGGGUGAUCGGCCACACUGGGACUGGAGCACGGCCCAGACUCCUACGGGAGGCAGCAGUAGGGAAUCUUCCGCAAUGGACGAAAGGCUGACGGAGCAACGCCGCGUGAGUGAUGAAGGCUUUCGGGUCGUAAAACUCUGUUGUUAGGGAAGAACAAGUGCUAGUUGAAUAAGCUGGCACCUUGACGGUACCUAACCAGAAAGCCACGGCUAACUACGUGCCAGCAGCCGCCGUAA